UACGAAGGGGGCUAGCGUUGCUCGGAAUCACUGGGCGUAAAGGGUGCGUAGGCGGGUCUUUAAGUUGGGGGUGAAAUCCCGGGGCUCAACCUCGGAAUUGCCUUCAAAACUGGAUAUCUUGAGUUCGGGAGAGGUGAGUGGAACUCCGAGUGUAGAGGUGAAAUUCGUAGAUAUUCGGAAGAACACCAGUGGCGAAGGCGACUCACUGGCCCGAUACUGACGCUGAGGCGCGAAAGCGUGGGGAGCAAACAGG
rnacentral:rRNA from 1 species